AAAGAGAAGAAGAGUUGGUUUGGUUGGAAAAGUAAAGGUUCAAAGAACAAUAUUGAUGAUCCUGAAGAUUCAAAGAUCUUGAAGAAGUUUUCUAAGUUGGCACCUGAAGGUGGGAACCAGAAAUCAGUUGAUAAUAAAAAAUCAUCGUCUGAAUUUUCUAGGGAGGAUUUGGGGGAUACCAAGAAGGGAAAGGAUAAAGGCAGCAAGAAGAAAAAGAAGAAAGGGGUCAGUAGCGAGUCUAAGCAUGAGAGUGAGUACAAGAAGGGUUUAAGACCUGUCUUGUGGCUGACACCGGAUUUUCCUUUGAAAACUGAGGAGCUCCUACCUUUACUUGAUAUAUUAGCGAACAAGGUCAAAGCUGUUAGGAGGCUUAGGGAGCUUCUGACUACUAAAUUACCUCAAGGAACAUUUCCUGUCAAGGUUGCCAUCCCAAUUGUCCCAACUAUUCGGGUGCUUGUUACUUUUACAAAAUUUGAGGAGCUUCAGCCAGUGGAGGAGUUUUCAACCCCCCUUUCCAGCCCAGCACAUUUCCAGGAUGCCAAAUCCAAGGAAGCAGAAGGGUCCACUUCUUGGAUUUCAUGGAUGAGGGGGAGUCGUGGUGGGCAAUCAAGUGAUAGCGAUAGUCAUAGAUACAAGGAUGAGAUUGACCCAUUCCACAUACCAUCAGACUAUACUUGGGUUGAUGCUAACGAGAAGAAGCGCCGCAUGAAGGCCAAGAAAUCCAAGAGUAAGAAACAUAGGAAACAGGCCGCCGCCAGAGGUGGGGAUGGUGGAACACAUCAAUUGAGUGAAGAUGUGGAAGAAUAAUUGGCGACCAACUAUCCCAAGGACCUUUGCCACUACAAAAUCCUUUGCAAGGGAAAAUACAAGAUAGGGCUCUGCUUGCACAUCUGACCUUUAUUCAUCUUCCGAGUCACACAUUGGAUGAUUUUAUGGAAUCUGUUAGGGAAUCACUUCUUGUUGAUUAUGAAGACUGUUGUCUUCUGUUCUUGUAUUGUUUUGUGAUGAAAUUGAAGAGGAGCGGAGUCUUCUUCAUUCCUUCUUUUAGACAUUAAAUCUUUGUAUCAUAAUCAGUUGAUUACCAAGUUUAAUGUCUAAAAGAAGGAAUGAAGAAGA
rnacentral:misc_RNA from 1 species